rnacentral:pre_miRNA from 1 species
UUAACUCUAAUUUGUGUGAAGUUCGAACGUUUCCCUUCGUUUGCCGCUAGGGGCGCUGCUCCAACUUCAUACAACUUUGAGUUA